CAGCCGCCGCGGUAAUACGUAGGGUGCGAGCGUUAAUCGGAAUUACUGGGCGUAAAGCGUGCGCAGGCGGUUCGUUAAGACAGAUGUGAAAUCCCCGGGCUUAGCCUGGGAACUGCAUUUGGGACUGUAUGACUAGAGUGUGUCAGAGGGGGGUAGAAUUCCACGUGUAGCAGUGAAAUGCGUAGAUAUGUGGAGGAAUACCGAGGGCGAAGGCAGCCCCCUGGGAUAACACUGACGCUCAUGCACGAAAGCGUGGGGAGCAAACAGGAUUAGAUACCCGUGUAGUCCCUGUCUCUUAUAC
rnacentral:rRNA from 1 species